rnacentral:rRNA from 1 species
GACAGAGGAGGCAAGCGUUGUCCGGAUUGACUGGGCGUAAAGCGUCCGCAGGUGGUCGCGCAAGUGCGCUGUGAAAGCGGCCCGCUCAACGGGCCGAGGCCAGCGCAGACUGCGCAACUCGAGGUCGGGAGAGGUCGGUGGAAUUGCCGGUGUAGUGGUGAAAUGCGUAGAGAUCGGCAGGAACACCCAAGGGGAAGCCAGCCGACUGGCCCGCACCUGACACUCAGGGACGACAGCGUGGGGAGCGAACCGG